UAGCCGCAUACGAUACGCCAAUACGCCAUUAUGGCGUAUUUCGGCGAUAUGUAAAGUUGUAAACAUAUCACGUUAUAUUCAAUUAUUACUUUCCUGGUUAUAAAUCAUUAUAAAUAUACGCGUUUGACAAUGUCUGAUGAGGAAGUAAUACGCCGGCGACUACUUAUAGACGGUGACGGGACAGGGGACGAUCGUAGGAUCAACGUGCUAUUGAAAUCGUUUAUAAAAUGGAUUAAUAGUUCCGACGUGGAUAACACUUUGCACGAAAGAAUGCUUUCGCAAUUGGCACAGUGCGAGUUUGCACAGAAAAAGUCUAGACUGGUUUCAAAUAUGAGUCGAGAGGAAUUAAAAAGCUAUGAGCAGCUAUCGAAGGAAAUUGAAAUACAAAUAGAAAAGGCCAAGGAAGAUAUAGAGAAAACCAAGGUGGAGUUGCAGGAUGCCAAGCGUGUGAGAAAAAAUAGAAUAGAGUACGACGUAUUAGCCAAAGUCAUUAAUGAACAACCAGACCGAUUGGAAACACACAUCAAGCUUGAUACAUUGCAACAAGAGUUAGGUGCUUUAAAGGAAAAGUCGGAACAGUUGGAGCACAAGUUAGAAAUGCGCCGUAAGCAAUUCCAUGUUUUAAUAUCCUCCAUACAUUCUCUGCAAGGAAUGUUGGAUGAGGGUGAUCAAGAAGUGAUGGAUGUGAGCCUCGAGAAUGGCAGUGGGAACACAAAUGUGAUGUUACAUGACAAUUCAUAAAUUUGCUAGUUUUUGGAACAUGUCUAAUAGUUAAAGACAAUCUAGUACCACGUUUUAUUAUCUCAUCUUCUGUAAACUUUUUUGCACACAUGUGUAGAUUUUUUAUUGAAGAAUCCGAUAUACUAUCAGAGUUUCUUUCCGCUAUGGAAUGCAAAUAAUUAUGCUACCUCUGAUGUUUCAAGCCGUCUGUAAAAGUCAAGGAGGGUAUGGGAACCACAGCUAAUGGUGGUUACAACAGGAUAAAAAAGUGGGCCAUCCGAGUGUGCCUGGUGAAGACACUAUGUUACUACUCAGUACAAACCGACAUGUAUAUAUAUUCCUGCAUUUUCUCUAUUCCAAUGUAGAUAAAUAUUAUACUAAUUGUAAUUUAUACUUUACUAAUAUACUAAUAAAGAAAGAAAACAAG